GUGUAUCUGCUCUCGAAGCAGGUAUUUAUUAUCUAUCAUACUUCCAAGAAAAGCUCGAACUACUGUUAAAUAUAAAAUACCUGUACCGUAAACCGACACAGGUAGGUUAGUAGAGUAUACUAAGGGGCGCGAGAUAACUCUCUCUAAGGAACUCGGCAAAAUGACCCCGUAACUUCGGGAGAAGGGGUGCCCACUCUAAAGGUGGGCCGCAGUGACCAGGCCCUGGCGACUGUUUAUCAAAAACAUAGGUCUCCGCAAAGUCGUAAGACAACAUAUGGGGGCUGACGCCUGCCCAGUGCCGGAAGGUUAAGGAAGUAGGUUAGGAUUUAUCCGAAGCUCACGACUGAAGCCCCGGUGAACGGCGGCCGUAACUAUAACGGUCCUAAGGUAGCGAAAUUCCUUGUCGGGUAAGUUCCGACCCGCUCGAAAGGCGUAACGAUCAGGGCACUGUCUCGGAGAGAGACUCGGUGAAAUAGACAUGUCUGUGAAGAUGCGGACUACUUGCACUUGGCCAGAAAGACCCUAUGAAGCUUGACUGUAGCUUGGAAUUGGGUUCGGGCUUUUCUUGCGCAGCCUAGGUGGGGGGCUAUGAAGAGAUACUUCUGGGUAUCUUGGAGCCAUCAGUGAGAGACCACUCUGGAGAAGCUAGAAUUCUAAUGGCGUUCCUUGAAGCAGGACGCUUGACAGUUUCAGGUGGGCAGUUUGACUGGGGCGGUCACCUCCUAAAAGGUAACGGAGGUGUGCAAAGGUUCCCUCAGGCUGGACGGAAAUCAGCCGUAGAGUGUAAAGGCAGAAGGGGGCUUGACUGCAAGACCUACAAGUCGAGCAGGGGCGAAAGCCGGCCUUAGUGAUCCGUCGGUUCCGUGUGGAAGGGCCGUCGCUAAACGGAUAAAAGUUACUCUAGGGAUAACAGGCUGAUCUUCCCCAAGAGUUCACAUCGACGGGAAGGUUUGGCACCUCGAUGUCGGCUCAUCGCAACCUGGGGCGGUAGUACGUCCCAAGGGUUGGGCUGUUCGCCCAUGAAAGCGGUACGUGAGCUGGGUUCAGAACGUCGUGAGACAGUUCGGUCCAUAUCCGGUGUAAGCGUUGGAGCAUUGAGAGGAUUCUUCCAUAGUACGAGAGGACCUGGAAGAACACACCUCUGGUAUACCAGUUAUCACGCCAGUGGUAAACGCUGGGUAGCCAAGUGUGGAGAGGAUAACCGCUGAAAGCAUCUAAGUGGGAAGCCCACCUCAAGAUGAGUGCUCCCUAUGAGGUCACGGCAAGACCAGCCGUUUGAUAGGCAGUAGGUGUACGUCUAGUAAUAGAUUUAGCUGAGCUGUACUAAUAGACCCAUUGAUUUU
rnacentral:rRNA from 1 species